UCCCUGAUAGCUCAGUUGGUCAAGAAUCUGCCUGCAAUGCAGGAGACCCUGGUUCAAUUCCUGGGUCGGGAA
rfam:Ovis aries breed Texel chromosome 1, whole genome shotgun sequence.